GUCUCAGGAAGUUCAUCCUCUGCUGGGCCUUUUUUUAUGACGGAGGCAAGGGCGUCAGUUUGUUUUCAGAAUUGCUGGGGACAAUAACCAUACACUUGAGUGGGGUUUAAAAAUUGCUGGGGACAAUAACCAUACACUUGAGUGGGGUUUAAAAAUUGCUGGGGACAAUAAAGUAGGCUAGCACAGGGGUCAGCAAUCUGCGGCUCUGGAGCCGCAUGCGGCUCUUCCAUGAUGGGGCUCUCUGUGCUUGUAAAAUAAUGAAUGGAUAUUUAAAUAAAAUGCUUUAUAUUUUACUGCAUUAAUUUUACAUCUGUAUGCCAAUUCUAAAUGUAAAGAUUGUCUGUGUAAACCUGAACAGGUCCAACCCGGUCUUACUGUGAGACCGGGUUGAUGCGUCACGCUUGUGCGUAAUCAUAGGCGCUUCCUGAGCUGAAGAGAUUCUGGGCUUCUCCUCAGACGGCUCCUGGAUGUGUCGCCACAUUGGAGACAGGAAACAGGACCACUGCUGUAAACACACACCAACAUGAAAGAGCACAGUUGUACACACUUCAAUGCAAGCCCUUUCAUCAGCAUCUUCAACUCAGACUGAGACAGAAAACACAAACUACAUGUUGCAGCAGCACUUGAACAACUCAGAACUGUACAGUGUCUAAAACAAUAUCCUUACAUCAGCCCUGCUCAAACCCAGUUAACGUGCAGGUCACUGGUGAGAACGAUGGUAAGCGGAACAACCCUGGUAUGUAAGGGUUAAUGGGAACUGCUCUCAAACAAACACUGAUCUAGUCACAACAAAAACUCAUUUCAUGUCUUCAGUGGAGUCAUACUCUAACCGUUAAUGCACUCCUACAGCACAAUGGUCGUCAAAUCUGUGAAAAUAACUUAUUAGUCUGUGUGAAUCAAUGUACUCAUCAAUUAUCAGUAAGGAAAGCUAAAUGAAACUAAACCUAGCUAGUUUAUUCCAGGAAGCGGAAUAAGCUGUUGGUGUGAAGCAGUGAGCCUUUGAGCGGCGACUAAUUCACCAAAAAUGUUGUCCUCUGAUGACGUUUUAUUGUGCCUUUAUUGUGAAACUUUAAACGAUGCUACACACAAUCUGACUUGUGUUUAGAUGUGGUUUUUCUUUUUGCAGAUUUAAGGCUGUUCUCCUGUUUUGGUGGUCUAGCAAAGAUAUUUGUCUGCGUUAUGGAACCAAAGUACAUCUGGAAACACAUCAGGACGCUCCAGUGAACCUCAGCUUUAACUACGAUGUUUAACUAGAUAACAGUCUGGUCCCAACAU
rnacentral:lncRNA from 1 species